AUGGAUAUGGCAGUCUCUACAUGGUCC
rnacentral:piRNA from 1 species